UGCCAUGUGAUACCCUGCAUUGCUGCAGAACCACCACCAAGAAAAAGGCCCUCACCAGAUGUGUUCCCUGGACUUUGGUCUUCCCAGUCUCUGCAACUCUGCCAUGUUGUGAAGACACUCAAGCAGCCCUUAGAGGUUUCACGUGGCAAGGUGCUGAGGUUUCCUGACAAGAGCAAGGAACCGAGGCCUUUGUCCUAUGAGCCAUGAGAGUGAGUCACCUUGGAAGCAGAUUCUCCAGCCCCUGUUGAGUCUUGAGAUGACAGCAGCUCUAGCCAACAUCUUGACUACAACCUCAUGAGUGACCUUGAACCAAAACCAUCCAGGAUUAAACACGGAGGAGGGAGGAUUGGUAGAAAAGGGCAGAGUCUUACAUGAUCAGAGCUGCUCCUGAAGGCUGAGCGGGGAGAGAAGGCUACCAUGGAGCAAAGCAACUUCCACCCAAAUGCUCCAUAAGAAUGAGAGUGAGCAUGUGGGUGUGUGACCCCCAGAAAACACCACACAAGA